GCCUGUGCAUAAAAUGCAGUGGGCCGAUCCGUCCGCAAGAACCGUUUUGAGCCCACCCGACAAAAGUCGGGUUAUUCGGAUCCACGUCAUUAACAGGUUGAACCAAAUUAAUAUCGGUCGAAACUGAUACCGUUAGUGCGUUUUGAACCAAGCCAGACCUCUUCUUCCCUUUGUUUCACAAACCCUAGCCAGUGCACCACUCCAUUGGGCAUCGCAGUUCGUCGUCACCGUCGUCUUCACCAUUUGUCGUCGCCGUCGUCUUCACCGUUCGUCGUCGCCGUCCAAGCGAAUUCACUUGCAAAAUGGUGGAUUAAAAUGGGAUGCAGGGGAAUUUUGUUGCUGCCUUACAAAUUAUGUUUAUUUUGUAUAGGUUUUAAUGGUUUUAACAGCAAUUGCAUAGAAAAAUAUGUUUAUUUUGCAGUUUUUCUCUUGAUAGUUUUGUACUAGUGUUUUGCUCACUUCUUAGUAAUGAAAUGAUAUUGAUUUGUAUGG